rnacentral:rRNA from 1 species
AGCGAACGCUGGCGGCAGGCCUAACACAUGCAAGUCGAACGAACUCUUCGGAGUUAGUGGCGGACGGGUGAGUAACACGUGGGAACGUGCCUUUUGGUUCGGAAUAACUCAGGGAAACUUGUGCUAAUACCGAAUGUGCCCUUCGGGGGAAAGAUUUAUCGCCAUUAGAGCGGCCCGCGUCUGAUUAGCUAGUUGGUGAGGUAACGGCUCACCAAGGCGACGAUCAGUAGCUGGUCUGAGAGGAUGACCAGCCACACUGGGACUGAGACACGGCCCAGACUCCUACGGGAGGCAGCAGUGGGGACUCUUGCGCAAUGGGCGAAAGCCUGACGCAGCCAUGCCGCGUGAAUGAUGAAGGUCUUAGGAUUGUAAAAUUCUUUCACCGGGGACGAUAAUGACGGUACCCGGAGAAGAAGCCCCGGCUAACUUCGUG